UGGGGAAUUUUGGACAAUGGGGGAAACCCUGAUCCAGCCAUCCCGCGUGUGCGAUGAAGGCCUUCGGGCUGUAAAGCACUUUUGGCAGGAAAGAAACGUCAUGGGUUAAUACCCCGUGAAACUGACGGUACCUGCAGAAUAAGCACCGGCUAACUACGUGCCAGCAGCCGCGGUAAUACGUAGGGUGCAAGCGUUAAUCGGAAUUACUGGGCGUAAAGCGUGCGCAGGCGGUUCGGAAAGAAAGAUGUGAAAUCCCAGAGCUCAACUUUGGAACUGCAUUUUUAACUACCGGGCUAGAGUGUGUCAGAGGGAGGUGGAAUUCCGGGUGUAGCAAUGAAAUGCAUAGAUAUGCGGAGGAACACCGAUGGCGAAGGCAGCCUCCUGGGAUAACACUGACGCUCAUGCACGAAAGCGUGGGGAGCAAACAGG
rnacentral:rRNA from 1 species